rnacentral:lncRNA from 1 species
UGAUAGGAACACACUUUCUCUCUCUCUCUCUCCCUCUCUCCCUCUCUCUCCCUCCCUCUCCCUCUCUCUCCCUCUCUCUCCCUCUCUCUCCCUCCCUCCCUCCCUCCUCCUCUCCCUCUCCUCUCUCUCUCUCCCCACUUCAUUCAAUUACAUCCAUUCAAGUACUAGUGUCUUUUUGCUUCUCUUAAUCCUGUGGUGGAAAUGAACUUAGAAUGUUCCCCUCGGCUCCCUCAAACCAAACUACCAAAUGAAUAAAAAAAGAAAAACAAAACCAACCCACAAAAAAACUAAAAAACAAGAACUGAGGUUUCUUGUCAAGCAAGUUCAUUGUGCAUUUAAGCACUUUUGUGUCUUGGCUUGCCAAGAUCCUGAGGUGUAGAAUCUGCUAAUGGGAGGGAACAUGAUAUGUAAUAGCGUGGCUGGCUGAGUCAUCUCGAUAGAAAAGUCCUCUGCACUCAGCUAUGAGAUGCCUCUAGGCAUUUCUGUAAUUGCCUGAGUUGCCACAUAGACUGAGAAUCAUGAGGCAAGAGUAUUUAUAUCUCUCAGCCAGGCAAGAAUUCCUGUACUCAGAAGAAGUGCCUACACCAGAGCUGCAGCCACAGUGACCUUCAUUUGCCUAGGGUUGUUAGGGUGCCAUGGAAAAAUAGGCUGAGUGUAUAGAAGCCUAAGUUAUUUGAAAAGCUGGAAUGAAAUGUACGGAAUCAAAAAUAAAACCUGGAAAAAGGGAGCGGGGGUGAGGGCUCAGAGCUUGCUCUGAAAGUUGCUUGACUGAGUUGGUGCCCUAGAAAGGUCACAGAGAUUGAGGGAGAGAAGUGACUCCAUGUAAUUGUCCUUUAACCUCCAAGGGCAUGCAUAUGAGCCCCAGCAAUAAUAACAGUCUUAAAAAACACAUCAUCUCUGAAGAGUUGCUCUUCUACCCAGCCAUCCAUUCUAAAACAAUUAUCUCUUAAUAUCACUGGGUAGUGGUAUCUGCUUUCUGCUUUUACUAUCUCCCACCAGAGACACCAUCAAAAUGUCUUCCUUAGGAAACCUGAGGUGCUCUUAACUACACACACAUGAGUGCUCAGACAAGGCUAAUUCCUUUUGAUUUCUAUGAGAUAGACAUCCCAACUUAAGCAAUAAUGGGACUCCUGAUAUUAAAAUAUGGGCUUUAAAAAGCAAAAGUUGGCCAAGCUCUGUUCUGCUUUCCACCUUUGAAGACAUACCUUUCGCGCUGAUGCUGCGGAGAUCUGUGAUUUUCAUUAAGAUCUUUGGAAACAUGUGAGGCUUGCUGGGUCGUCGUUUUCUAAUGUAAAUCUUUAGUGCUUCCAGCAGUGGUUCUUGGAGCUUGUCUACUUUUGUUGGUUCCUCAAGGUCCUGGCGGUCUGGAUAGCAGGAGAAAGUAUUCAGUGUUUAGUGAUCAGACAGGCUCAGAGACUGCUGGCUAUCUUUCCUUGUCUCCUAUUCCUCCUGUAAAGUGGCUUUAUUUGGUGACUCAGUUGUACACUAAAUUGAGUAAAUGCAAUUGCUUUAAGCAGUGACACUUGAAGAUGCCCCCUUAGUAAGCUCAUUUGAUGUCCACUUGCUCAGGCCCAGAGGCAAGAAUUACCUCUCAUGGCCAGAUGGUGUCAGUAUUGAGCUGAACAAAAGAACCCUGGGCAGCCUGUAAAAGCCAGGUAGAUAACCUUUCCCCUUCAUUACAACCAUUACUUUUGAACUAAAGUUGGCUUCUGGUUAGCCAGCAGGGGUCACUACAAAGAAGGGGCCAUACUUUAUUCCAGCCCACCAGGUAGGCACCUGUAUGGUGGGGAAGACCAAGAGGUGAUUUGAAUUCAAAUAACAUGUGAUUUGUGUAGGUCAUCACUAAAAUGUCCUUAGGCACACAGCAGUACAAUCCUGCUUUUACAAAAGCACCUGUUUCCCACAAGAGAAACAGAACAAACUCAUUUUGGCAUUUCUUUUGUUUUGGCAGAAGGAGCUCAAACACCAGUACUUAGUUUGCAACAGAAAGAAGUACAACGCCUUUCUCAUGCCAAAGAACCCCAGUGGAGAUCUCUUCUGUGCCUUUGUAAUUGCUCUGUUGGGGUCUGGUGACGGUUUCUAAGGAGUCAGUACCUCCACAGAUUAAACAGAUGGCACUGAGAAGGCCUGUUUCUGUGUCAUCCAUUUCCAAAGGCAGGAGCUGGUUGGCAAAGGUGAACACAAGGUCAGUCAGAGGACCGAAGCCAGCAUUGUGCAUCUGAGUUCGAUUUAGUGUAAGGCCAUCAGAGAAAGUCAUGGUGUCUUGCUCUGGGGUAUACCUGGUACAAAUUCUGAGAAUCUG